UUCAUUGGCGCGUGAGUGCGUGCAGCGUUUUGGAAGCGGUCUCCGCUCCUGUCGUUGUUGUGCAUUUGCUUGCUGGUGCCCUGUGCUGUGGUGGACGUCAGAGUCAGUUUGUAUGUUGCGGGAAAUGGUUAUCAGGGAGGUAGGUCGCUUCGGUGGCUGUUAUAUCCUGGUAACUAGUCGUCGUGGCUGAGACUGAGGUGCCUACAACGCGCUUUCGAGUCUGCGGGCUUCUCGUGUGGCUGUUUGCUUUGAUAGCUUGCUAUGUUGGUGAAUAAGUCGUGCGAUUGAGACCUGUAGUAACUUGUUGCCGUUCGGGACUUUGACGAAAUGGAGCGAUCCGACCCGUCUUGAAACACGGACCAAGGAGUCUAACAUGUGUGCAAGUGUUAGGGUGUGGAAACCCCAGCGCGGAAUGAAAGUAAAGGACAGCCUAGCUGUCUGAGGUAGGAAUCCUUUGUUUACAGGGGAGGCACUAUCGACCGAUCAUGAACCUUCGUGGUGAAAGAUUUGAGUUUGAGCACAUAUGUUGGUACCCGAAAGAUGGUGAACUAUG
rnacentral:rRNA from 1 species